GCGGUCGUGGCGGAAUUGGUAGACGCGCAGCGUUGAGGUCGCUGUCCCAGAAAUGGGGUGGAAGUUCGAGUCUUCUCGACCGCACCA
rnacentral:tRNA from 2 species